GAUGAACGCUAGCGGCAGGCCUAACACAUGCAAGUCGAGCGGCAGCGGAAAGUAGCUUGCUACUUUGCCGGCGAGCGGCGGACGGGUGAGUAAUGUCUGGGAAACUGCCUGAUGGAGGGGGAUAACUACUGGAAACGGUAGCUAAUACCGCAUAACGUCGCAAGACCAAAGAGGGGGACCUUCGGGCCUCUUGCCAUCAGAUGUGCCCAGAUGGGAUUAGCUAGUAGGUGGGGUAACGGCUCACCUAGGCGACGAUCCCUAGCUGGUCUGAGAGGAUGAACAGCCACACUGGAACUGAGACACGGUCCAGACUCCUACGGGAGGCAGCAGUGGGGAAUAUUGCACAAUGGGCGCAAGCCUGAUGCAGCCAUGCCGCGUGUAUGAAGAAGGCCUUCGGGUUGUAAAGUACUUUCAGCGGGGAGGAAGGCGAUAAGGUUAAUAACCUUGUCGAUUGACGUUACCCGCAGAAGAAGCACCGGCUAACUCCGUGCCAGCAGCCGCCGUAAAAC
rnacentral:rRNA from 1 species